UACGGAGGGUGCGAGCGUUAAUCGGAAUUACUGGGCGUAAAGCGCGCGUAGGCGGUUAAUUAAGUCAGAUGUGAAAGCCCAGGGCUCAACCUUGGAACUGCAUUUGAAACUGGUUAACUAGAGUUUUGUAGAGGGUGGUAGAAUUUCAGGUGUAGCGGUGAAAUGCGUAGAGAUCUGAAGGAAUACCAGUGGCGAAGGCGGCCACCUGGACAAUAACUGACGCUGAGGCGCGAAGGCGUGGGGAGCAAACGGG
rnacentral:rRNA from 1 species